UACGGAGGGUGCAAGCGUUAAUCGGAAUUACUGGGCGUAAAGCGUGCGUAGGCGGUUCGUUAAGUCUGUUGUGAAAGCCCCGGGCUCAACCUGGGAAUGGCAAUGGAUACUGGCGAGCUAGAGUGUGUCAGAGGAUGGUGGAAUUCCCGGGUGUAGCGGUGAAAUGCGUAGAGAUCGGGAGGAACAUCAGUGGCGAAGGCGGCCAUCUGGGACAACACUGACGCUGAGGCACGAAAGCGUGGGGAGCAAACAGG
rnacentral:rRNA from 1 species